AAUUUAGGAACAAAUUCACUUGCUCCCCACCCCAAUAAAAUUACUGCACCUUGACUCUUGUUGACUCUUUGACUUGAACCAUGGGCCGGGCCUCUUAUGUGUAGACAAGUUAAUUUUAAUCCUGAACCCAUAAUUAAUUUUGGUAAAAAAAAUUAAAAUUGAAUUAUGGUACAAAUAGUCAUAUUUUAUUGCUUAAUUCUAUGUGUUUUGAUUGCACUUUUUGGGUUGAUUUUAGUUAGUCAUUGCA
rnacentral:misc_RNA from 1 species